AACCUUAUCAUUUAGAGGAAGGAGAAGUCGUAACAAGGUUUCCGUAGGNNGAACCUGCGGAAGGAUCAUUGUCGAU
rnacentral:rRNA from 1 species